AUCAACCGAACAUGACUAUCCGAAGACACUUUCCAUCUAACUAUCUGCUUGCCGACCUACUCGCAUGGGAAUAUGCACUCCUUUUUCUACCCUUCCUUGGCCGAUAAACCUUUACAUUCAUGUAACAUUUCGUUCCCUUCAUGAAAGAUCUUAAACUUACCCGAAUGAACUUAUCCUCCUUUGCAUACUUAACCAUCCUUAGCAUUAAACAUUUCCCAAUGCUCAACACCUAACCAUUAUGCAUCCUUCCCGGACACAUUCUUCUUAUCAUGUCCUUAUCGAACCUUACUCAUCCGACACUUCAUACCGCAAAACAACAAAACUAGAGCACUUCCACUCUCAAUCUCCAAACAACAUUUUGGUUCAUGAUCGUGCCUUAGAAAACUUUCCAAGUUCACAUGGCAACAUUUCGUCUCACCUCAACAACGAAUCUUUGAUGGAACCAACUCUCAUGGCCCGAUAGCUUAGUCGUGAUUUUUGGUAUUCACCGAUUCCCUCCAGGUCAUAACCAUCCGCACUUCAUCUUGAGCCUUUCAAGAAUUAUCCUGAACUUCUUAAACUUUACGGAACUUACCACUUAUCCAGCUUCCUACGCACAUUCUCGGAUGACCCAUGAUCCUUGAACCUUUCCGGACUUUCGAUCCUAACG
rnacentral:lncRNA from 1 species